UACGGGGGGAGCAAGCGUUGUUCGGAUUUACUGGGCGUAAAGGGCGCGUAGGCGGCCACCGCAAGUCGACUGUGAAAUCUCCGGGCUUAACUCGGAAAGGUCAGCCGAUACUGCGGGGCUAGAGUGCAGAAGGGGCAACUGGAAUUCUCGGUGUAGCGGUGAAAUGCGUAGAUAUCGAGAGGAACACCUGAGGUGAAGACGGGUUGCUGGGCUGACACUGACGCUGAAGUGCGAAAGCUAGGGGAGCGAACGGG
rnacentral:rRNA from 1 species